rnacentral:rRNA from 1 species
GGCUCGAAGGACGAACGCUGGCGGCGUGCUUAACACAUGCAAGUCGGGCGGAAAGGCUCCGUUCGGGGGUACUCGAGCGGCGAACGGGUGAGUAACACGUGAGUAAUCUGCCCUUGGCUUCGGGAUAACUACCGGAAACGGUGGCUAAUACCGGAUAUGACCACUCCUUGCAUGAGGUGGUGGUAGGUAAAGUUUUUCGGCCAGGGAUGUGCUCGCGGCCUAUCAGCUUGUUGGGUGGGGUAAUGGCCUACCAAGGCUUCGACGGGUAGCCGGCCUGAGAGGGUGACCGGCCACACUGGGACUGAGACACGGCCCAGACUCCUACGGGAGGCAGCAGGUGGGGAAUAUUGCACAAUGGGCGCAAGCCUGAUGCAGCGACGCCGCGUGGGGAUGACGGCCUUCGGGUUGUAAACCUCUUUCACCAGGGACGAAGCGAGAGUGACGGUACCUGGAGAAGAAGGACCGGCCAACUACGUG